AGUGGCGAACGGGUGAGUAACACGUAAGAAACCUGCCCCAAAGACGAGGAUAACCAUUGGAAACGAUGGCUAAUACUGGAUAGGACAUAAAAUCGCAUGAUUUAAUGUUUAAAGGUGCGUUUGCACCGCUAUGGGAUGGUCUUGCGCUGCAUUAGUUAGUUGGUAAGGUAACGGCUUACCAAGACGAUGAUGCAUAGCUGGUCUGAGAGGAUGAACAGCCACACUGGGACUGAGACACGGCCCAGACUCC
rnacentral:rRNA from 1 species